UAUAAAUCGACUCCACAUCUACGAGUCUAUCCACUUCACUUUCUCUUCUUCGAUCACACUGUUUCAAAACCUUCACAACAACAAUGGCGGAUACCAAUACCGAAGCUCCAUAUUCCCACAAUUCACACCCUCCAACAAUCGACGGCAACGUCCUGGUGGCCAAGGCCCUCUCACGUGCCGGCGUGGACCGCAUGUUCGGCGUUGUCGGCAUCCCCGUCACCUCCCUCGCCAACCGCGCCGUCGCUCUCGGCGUCCGAUUCAUCGCCUUCCACAACGAGCAGUCAGCCGGCUACGCCGCCUCCGCCUACGGCUUCCUCACCGGCCGCCCCGGCAUCCUCCUCACCGUCUCCGGCCCCGGCUGCGUCCACGGCCUAGCCGGCCUCUCCAACGCCGCCGUCAACGGCUGGCCUAUGGUCAUGAUCUCCGGCUCCUGCGAUCAGAGCGAUUUUGGCCGCGGCGAUUUCCAGGAGCUCGAUCAGAUCGCCGCCGUGAAACCCUUCUCGAAGUUUUCUGCCAAAGCCACCGAUAUUAAGGAAAUCCCUAAUUGUGUUUUCCAGGUUCUCGAUCACGCUUCUUCGGGUCGGCCUGGCGGGUGUUAUUUGGAUUUUCCGACUGAUGUUCUGCACCAAACUGUUACUGAAUCUGAGGCUGAGAAGUUGAUUCUUGAUGCUGAGAAUCAGAGACAACAAGAGGUGAUUGAGAAAUUUGAUAAUUCUGAAAUUGAGAAAGCGGUUUCGUUGCUGCGACACGCGGAGAGGCCAUUGAUUGUGUUUGGUAAAGGUGCUGCUAUUGCUAGAGCUGAGAACCCUUUGAAGAAAUUGGUAGAUUGUACUGGGAUUCCAUUCUUGCCCACCCCAAUGGGGAAGGGUUUGUUGCCGGACACUCACGAGCUCGCUGCAACUGCGGCGAGAUCGCUUGCAAUUGGUAAAUGCGAUGUUGCACUUGUAGUUGGUGCAAGGCUUAAUUGGUUGUUGCAUUUUGGGGAACCCCCAAAGUGGUCGAAAGAUGUGAAGUUCAUCUUGGUUGAUAUAAGCAAGGAUGAAAUUGAGCUUAGAAAGCCCUAUGUGGGAUUGGUUGGGCAUGCCACAAAGAUUGUGGAGAUGAUUACUAAAGGGAUUAAGGAUGACCCUUUUUGUUUGGGGAAGACUCAUCCUUGGGUUGAAGCUAUAUGCAAGAAAUCAAAAGAAAAUGUGUCCAAAAUGGAGGCUCAAUUGGCAAAGGAUGUUGUGCCUUUUAAUUUUCUCACACCGAUGAGAAUUAUCAGAGAUGCGAUUCUUGGAAUGGGUAGUCCUGCUCCGAUUUUGGUUUCUGAAGGAGCAAAUACAAUGGACAUUGGUCGGGCGGUGUUGGUUCAGAUGGAGCCGAGGACUAGGUUGGAUGCAGGGACAUGGGGGACAAUGGGGGUUGGUCUUGGUUAUUGCAUUGCUGCUGCGGUGGCUUCACCUGACAGGCUUGUGGUUGCAGUCGAAGGGGACUCUGGGUUCGGGUUUAGUGCUAUGGAAGUUGAGACAUUGGUUCGAUACCAGUUGCCCGUGGUGGUGAUAGUUUUCAACAACGGUGGUGUAUAUGGUGGUGAUCGGAGAAGCUCCGAAGAAAUUACAGGGCCUUACAAGGAUGACCCGGCACCCACUUCUUUUGUCCCCGGUGCAUCAUAUCACCUUCUAAUUGAAGCUUUUGGGGGCAAAGGUUAUCUUGUUGGGACCCCCGAUGAACUCAAGUCUGCUCUUGCUGAAUCCUUCACUGCCCGGAAACCAGCUGUGAUUAAUGUUACGAUUGAUCCAUAUGCCGGUUCAGAAAGUGGGAGGAUGCAGCACAAGAACUAAGGGUGGGCUCAAAUCGUUUGUAUUUUUAUGGAUUGUUUGCUGGUGGGAAAGGUGGCUUGCCUGCGACACUGUUCAAUAAUGUAAAAUUCCUGAAUCUAGAUGCAGAAUUAUUACUAGCCUGCACACAAUUACACAUCGAGUUUCUUUGUCAUAUUAGUCUUCUUUUUCACAUAAAUGCAGAACAAGUGUUGUGAUAUUUGUAGCAAGAUGAUGUACAAUGUUAAUGGACUCCAUUUUCAAAUUUCAUGUUUGAUCUAUA